rnacentral:misc_RNA from 1 species
AACUUUUAGCAACGGAUCACUUGGUUCCGGCAUCGAUGAAGAACGCAGCGAAAUGCGAUAAUUAAUGUGAAUUGCAGAAUUCAGUGAAUCAUCGAGUCUUUGAACGCACAUUGCGCCCCCUGGUAUUCCGGGGGGCAUGCCUGUCCGAGCGUCAUUGCUGCCCUCAAGCACGGCUUGUGUGUUGGGCUUCCGUCCCUGGUAACGGGGACGGGCCCAAAAGGCAGUGGCGGCACCAUGUCUGGUCCUCGAGCGUAUGGGGCUUUGUCACCCGCUCCCGUAGGUCCAGCUGGCAGCUAGCCUCGCAACCAAUCUUUUUAACCAGGUUGACCUCGGAUCAGGUAGGGAUACCCGCUGAACUUAAGCAUAUCAAUAAGCGGAGGCU